AAAAAUACUCUCUUCUUCCGUUUGUGUUCCAUCUCUCCGUCUCCUUUCUAAAAACGAUUUUUCUCUGCCGCUCCCUUCCUAUCUACUUUUGACCCCAAAUGAUAACAUCAACACUUAUCUGCUCCUUUGCUUGUUAUGAUAGUGGCUAUUUCUUACAUUGAAGAAUUUUCUUCAUUACAAGUUCCUCUAAUCCUCAAACGAAAGCCCAGUCUCCAAUAGAUUGGUCACCUCCUACUCAGGUUUUUUUUAAAUUAAAUUUUGAUGAAGCUCUAAAUGUUGUUUGUAAUAGAGGUUCCAUUGCUGUUCUGGCAAGGGACCCAAAGAGUAUGCUCUGCAGCUGGUCUUGUCAACAUUUUCCAAAACAUUGUUGAUCCUCUAAUCUUGGAGGCGUUACCGUGUAGGGAAGCGCUGAUUCUUGUUCAUU
rnacentral:misc_RNA from 1 species